AUUCGAAACAUAAUCUCUGAUGUUUGUGUUGAUGUCUGUGCUGAGGCUUGCCGUUUAAAUUGAAAAUAUGUGGGAGACUGGGAGUGAUUGAGGGAUGCUGUGCUUUGCUAGAAACUGCAGCGCACACACACGGACAGCAGUGAUGCUCAAGGUGUUGGAUAGAAAAACCUUUCACUUUUUAUGCAUUUGAGAAGGUGCUAUGAAGAAGCAGAAUCAACAGGGGCUGAAGUAAUGACGGGAAAACUGAACUGUUUGUUGUGUCAUCAGGCAACAGCACAUGAAUUACCAGAUGUGAUCCAAUAAACUCCAAGACCAGCACACAAAAAUUGGAAGAUGGAACUGUUGUCCUGUUGAAAAGCUUUUGAAGAAAGAGAUAAUGCAGCAGUGAAACAUCUGGAGCAAACUUCAGCCAACACUGACAAUCAAGAUUGUGUGACUCGAUCAGUUUGGCUUCGAAAAAAAUGGAAAAAAAAUCUUGUUAAUAGCAGAGAAUGCAUAUUCACAUGUAAAACCACCACUUUGCUUUAAGCUUGCUUUCAGAUAAUCUGAUGUUGCAGCAACUGACAGUGCUUUUGAGUGUGGUAUUAUGGAUAUGAACAUUUUGUGAUGUAAUGUACCUGAAGUAUAAUGUUUCUUCAAGAAACUGAAAUAGUACUUUGUAAAAAAAAAGAAAAUUACAAAAAAUUAGCUUGAAA